UACGAGGGGGGCGAGCGUUGUUCGGAAUUAUUGGGCGUAAAGGGUGCGUAGGCGGCCUGACAAGUCUGAUGUGAAAUCCCUGGGCUCAACCCAUAGUCUGCAGGCGAAACUGUCGGGCUUGAGUAUGGGAGAGGUGAGUGGAAUUUCCGGUGUAGCGGUGAAAUGCGUAGAUAUCGGAAGGAACACCUGUGGCGAAAGCGGCUCACUGGACCAUUACUGACGCUGAUGCACGAAAGCUAGGGGAGCAAACAGG
rnacentral:rRNA from 1 species